rnacentral:rRNA from 1 species
CUACGGGGUGCACCAGUGGGGAAUAUUGCACAAUGGGCGCAAGCCUGAUGCAGCCAUGCCGCGUGUAUGAAGAAGGCCUUCGGGUUGUAAAGUACUUUCAGCGGGGAGGAAGGGAGUAAAGUUAAUACCUUUGCUCAUUGACGUUACCCGCAGAAGAAGCACCGGCUAACUCCGUGCCAGCAGCCGCGGUAAUACGGAGGGGGUAAGCGUUAAUCGGAAUGACUGGGCGUAAAGCGCACGCAGGCGGUUUGUUAAGUCAGAUGUGAAAUCCCCGGGCUCAACCUGGGAACUGCAUCUGAUACUGGUAAGCUUGAGUCUGGUAGAGGGGGGUAGAAUUCCAGGUGUAGCGGUGAAAUGCGUAGAGAUCUGGAGGAAUACCGGUGGCGAAGGCGGCCCCCUGGACGAAGACUGACGCUCAGGUGCGAAAGCGUGGGGAGCAAACAGGAUUAGAUACCCCGGUAGUC